rnacentral:lncRNA from 1 species
AACCAACUGCAGCCAUAAGAAGUCACGGAGAUAUCUUAGCCUGAAUAUGGCCUCUUCUUUAUGGUCUUAUCUAAAGGAUUAGCUCUACCCAGUGGACUCUAUUCAGGAGCCUUUUCUCUUUGUUGGCUGCUGAGUUGACUGUGGUCCUUGCCCUGUUCACCCCGUCUCCAUCCCUCAGAACAGCUGGCAGGUGGGAAGGGAAGCAGCAACAAGCCCAGAGAAAGAAGAGAAGAGAAGAGAAGAGAAGAGAAGAGAAGAGAAGAGAAGAGAAGAGAAGAGAAGAGAAGAGACAUUCCUAAAGGCAAACUACAGAACCAUUUCCGUAACCAAACAUGCUGGAACAAGACUAGAACCUUGGACUGAUACUGUCAAGAAGAUAUGAGAGGGCUGCGGGGUGUGCAGAUCCACGGGGCGGCACUUGUCUGGUAUGUGCAAGGCCCUGGGGUCCACUCCUGACUCUACCCUCCCAUAGAAACAGAAGAAGAAAAAGAGCUUUCAGAUAAAUAAAUAUUUCUAUCUGCUGUAAUGGACUGUUUUAAAUAAAAUAUCAAAAU